rnacentral:rRNA from 1 species
CAGUCGCCGCGGUAAUACGAAGGGUGCAAGCGUUAAUCGGAAUUACUGGGCGUAAAGCGUGCGUAGGCGGUGAGUUAAGUCUGCUGUGAAAUCCCCGGGCUCAACCUGGGAAUGGCAGUGGAUACUGGCUUGCUAGAGUGUGUCAGAGGAUGGUGGAAUUCCCGGUGUAGCGGUGAAAUGCGUAGAGAUCGGGAGGAACAUCAGUGGCGAAGGCGGCCAUCUGGGACAACACUGACGCUGAGGCACGAAAGCGUGGGGAGCAAACAGGAUUAGAUACCCGAGUAGUCCCUGUCUCUUAUAA